UGUUCACAAGAAGCGAACCAAAAAUUGAAAGGCAUAAUAGGCAAUAGAAAUAUGUAGCAAAUGAAUAGCACAGAUGAUGCCAGUUUUGGUGUUACUUUGUGGACGUAAUUUCAGGAGAUUUAAAAGCGGUUUACUCCAGGAUAUUCCUCAACAAGAAACAGGAGAAGACCUAUGAUGGAGGCUGGUUAUGAGCUAGUUGCAUGUUUCCAGUGACCUGAUAAGAGGAGAUAAGCUAUGAAGGUGCUGUUUGGCUUCCACCAGUGAUUUACCCUAAAGAAGGCUGACAUGGCUGGGCUCAGAGAACUACCAGGAAAUGGAGGAAGAUGCAGAAGGUAAACAGAGCGGUAACCGAAGAGGAAAGAAGGGCCAGAUUUCACGAGGAAAGGAUCAUCACACAGGUUAUCUGUGUGAAAGCCACUGGGGUUUGUUGCCUCUCGUCCUACUGUGCACAUUUAAGAAGAAUUUGGCUCCCUUCUGCAACCACGCAUUGGGUAUUUAUAGACAGCAAUAAGAUCUCUGCAAAGCCCUCUCUUCUCAAGACUGAGAAAACACCAUUAUCACAGACUCUCCUUCUACAUCAUAUCAACAAACAUAGCUGGGUGAAAUAGACAAAUAAAAUGUGAAUAAAAUGUUUAUUUGUUCUUACGCA